UAGCCAGCUAUUUAAUUGGAGCUCAAGAUGAGAUAUCCGAGGGUACAUUUGUAUGGGAGGACGGGACUUCAUUGACAUACAGUAACUGGGGACCAGGACAGCCUGACAACUAUGUAUCGGCUGAGGAUUGUGUCACCCUUUACCGUCCUUUGGGUCUAUUGAGUCACUAUAAUUAGGCCGAUGUCAACUGUGAUGUGGCCGUAGAGUUUUACAUUUGUGAAGCAAGGUAAGAUUUAUUAUAAACGUUAUACAAAGAGAGCAAAAUAUAACAGGGAUAUUUGAACUCAUAAGUGGAAAAUAAACUUUCAACGGCAGAUCCUGCUUCAAACGUGGCACUCGACGUGUUGCUCAUCUUAUUACACAUCCAGUAAUAAGUAUACUUCAGUAGGUCACAUUCGUGAAAACGGAAUUGUUGUUAAGAUAAUAGGAAUAUAUUCUCUGUCAACUUUGAAAUAUUUCAUAACGAUCAACUUUCAACAAAUUCAUGAUUGUAAUUCGUGACCAUGACGUCAUCAACGUUUUUAAUGCCUUACUCCGGUUCAAAUAAAGUCAACAGUAGUAUAGCGCUGUUUAAAAUUCUUAAUCGAUAGAGAAAAAACAAAUCCGGGUUACUAACUAAAACUGAGGGAAACGUAUCAAAUAUAAAAGAACUAUACGACACAACAGAGACACAACACUGAAAUGUAAAACACACAGAAACGAACUAUAAUGUAACAAUGGCCAUAUUCCUGACUUGGAACAGGCCAUUUUAUGAAAACAUGGUGAAUUGAACCUGGUUUUGUGGCAUGCCAAACCUCCCGCUUUAAUGGCAGUGUUAAUGAUAACAUUAAAAUGACAACAUUACACGACAGGGCUACAAUACGGAAUGGAAUUUAGAAUUAAAUUAUAAGAAAUAACUGUAAUAUUUUAUCAUUUCGUAUUGUAUCCCUGUAGCUUUUCAAAGUACUAGUUUUCAUUGAUAGGGGAUUAAUAAAGGAAUCAAAAGAGCAAAAAAAAUAUGUGCUUAUUUUCGAGAUAUUUAACAAUGAAAUUUUGGCGGGAAAAAUGUUCUCUCUUGCCUUUUCAUAGCUUUUUUAUUGACAAGUUCAACUUCUCAAAAACUAUUAAAAAUUAAUUAAAAUUUUAUAAGACUUUUUACAAAAUUUAUAAAGAGAAAAUGGGGGUCAAUGGGCAAAUUUGAUUAAGGCAUUCAAAUGAAUAAAACCUGAGGAUUCCGAAAAUUUGACAAAAAUUCCAAAACAUGACAAGCGAACAUCAUUAAACGAUCGUCACGAUUUAUUACUAUUUGUGAAUGAUUUUCAUGGCUAUUAAUGUUGAUUGACUUAUCUUCGAGGUUGACAAUAUUGCUUGACCGCUCUAUAAUUAAUUUGCAGUUAGAAUGACUGAUCGACAACGCUUACUCUAUUGGCUGACUUUGCCUAAAUGCUGAUAAACUUUUGACUUUCAUGAUCUUCGAUCCUGACAAUUUGGAUUAACUAUUUUUUUAUGAUAAAACUAUGGCUUGACUGAUCUCCGAUGCUUAUAAUUUUGACUUGGCUAAUUUUCAUUUCUGACUCUUUGAAUUGACUCAUCUUCAAUGCUGAUAUUUUAGCUUUACAAAUCGUUCUGCAGUUCUGAUAAAUUUGGCUUGAGUUAUUUUCAAUGCUUUUUAUUUUAAAACUUAUCCAUGACUAAUCGAUCCUCGAUGAUGAUAUUUUUGAGCUGACUGAUAUCUUGUGCGGAUACCUUUGGCUCGUUUGAUCUGCAUUGUUAUACUUUUUAAUUUCCCAGAUUUCAUUGCAUUUGAUUAAAGCAAAAUUAUUGUCAAAUAAAGAUGUAGGUCCAAUAAGACCCCAAAUGGUCCUACUUCAUAGGUCAAUUUGAUUUGUCAUCAAAAUGACAGCAAAAACAACAAAAAACAUUGGAUAGGUAGAAUAGAACAAGAAACAGUAGCUGAGUCGAUGGGUAUUUUCUUACAUAAUGUUUAUUGAAGUAAUUAACAUAUUUGACUUCGAUGUAGUUGAUUUAUCAAUUCUAUACAAUCACGUGAUAGAAAUCAGAAAGAAUAUUUGCAAAAACUUGGGCCAUUUUACCCAACCUUUAUUAUAUUUUAUUUAACUGUUUUCAAAUUUUUAAAUUUGAUAGAAGCAUUUUGCGAUUUUUUGUAAAUGUUUGUUUGUUUUGAGUUUGUAACCCAGUGAUGACUGAUGCAAACAUAUUUUGACUAUUUUACCUAUAAUGUCCGUUUUGUUCAUGCAUCGUUGUAAACAUAACGGAAUUUGAUGCGACUGUCAUACAAGUGAGAGGUAUAGCGCUUUAAGCGCUUUAAAACCCGGUUAAAUCCACCAUUUUCUACAUUCGAAAAUGCCUGAACCAAGUCAGGAAUAUGCCAGUUGUUGUUCAUUCGUUUGAUGUGUUUUAUCACUUGAUUUCGACAUUUGAUUAGGGACUUUCCGUUUUGAAUUUUCCUCGAAGUUCAGUAUUUUUGUGUUUUUACUUUUUUCAUUAUUUUAAAAUAUUUGAUGUACUGCUUUUGUUAUUUCUUAAGUAAAUGUAAUUGUUUUGAAUCUAAAUAAGAUAAUUACUAAUCGAUUUACGAGAUUUGAAUAUUGGUUAACUACUGUGACCUUGAUUAGUCUUGAAAUAUUUUGGCACUAAUACUAGUAAUAUGACUAUAUAUUUUUCAGUGAUGGAGGCGUUGAUGUCGUCGGGUAAAAAUGACACUUGUUCAGAUGAUUAGCUAAAGAGACG
rnacentral:lncRNA from 1 species